rnacentral:tRNA from 1 species
GCUUACAAUAUGCAUGCAAGCUGAUUCGUGUCAACAGAAGAACAGUUUGGGGGAGGAGGUUUAGAAACUUUGACGGAAAAACAGAGUCGAGAAGAUUUCUUUGGAAAAUCUAUACGAAAUGGGCGCUUUUGUUGGGAAACAGGGACGGAAGAAAUUCGAAGUGCCUCACGUUUCUGCAACAACGUGACUGCAUGCACAUAUGAAUCGCGAGAGAAUCGACGGCGGCAGGAUUCGAACCUGCGCAGGCAGAGCCUAAUGGAUUUCUAGUCCAUCUCCUUAACCACUCGGACACACCGCCUGGAAGCCGGGAUUUUUCUUCCUGUUGUUUCCACCAUGUUUAUCGCGACAAUAACUUUACAAGCUCUCCGCAACACUCGUGCUCAGAUCAAUCUUCUGUAGCAUCUGUCUUUUCCGUACUCGAGGGCACACGCCUGCAGGGUCUUUGCUCGUUCUCUUUCUUUUCUUAUAGCGGGCUUCAUGCGGUCUGCUGUGGUGUCCAGCGUCCAUCGCAGAAACGGGAAGUGACGAACUCACACACGGUACCUGCUCUGUGGCCACUGCAAGGUACGACUCUCAGGCAACCAGGCGACGCCAUAUCUUUUUAGGGUUGUCGUGCGCUUGUUGCCACACUAUAUCUUUUCAGACACAGUUACAAAAGAGUCCCUCUUUUCCCAGAAUGUUUUUCUACACCGAUAUUCAGGUUGAGACUUUGAGAGUUUCGAGAAACCGCCGAGGCACGCGUUACACGAGCAGAAAGUGACUGACAAACCAAAUGAUUACACGAUGUGAACACUGCUGGCUUUCCAGUGAAACGGUUGCCAAGUGUACGUACAGCGCAGCUGUUUCAUGUUUUCACGAAUGUGCUGCCAUUUCGAGCGUUUCGAUACGGUUCUGACACAAGCCGUUUCCUAAGAGAAACAAUCCCUCAAUCUCUUCACCAAAAACGCCGACAGUCAGCGGUUUCUCCACGUAAGACUUGCGCUGUUUAGAAGACAGUUGCGCCACGAAAGUGGAUAUCCCCGAAACCUCAAACAAAGCAGCAACGAAUCCACCGCUUGUGCCAGCCUGUCCUGCUAAACUGCAAGGUUUCAGACUCACUCAACUUACUGUUUGAAGCAUGUUGCGAUAUUUCGAAAAAACUCUCUGCUUUGGGUUUCCAUUCACUGUAAGACGCCGUUGAAAGUUCCUGGGAACGAGCGAACAAGCCGAUCACGAGCACUUCAGUGCCCGAUGAAACCCUGCAACACGUCAAUGCUUUGCCUACUCGGGUUGGGUGUGACACCGCGUCCAUAAACUCGAUCUGGAAGCAAGGCUGCUGUAUCUGUGAUUGUCGAAAUGUGCGAGAUCCAGGGACUUCCUUUGGAAAACUUUCGUCGAACUCGCUUCCGUAGUUCAUGCAGUUGUCAGUGGUAGAUCCCAACACCCGAAUCCGGUCUAGAG